rfam:Myotis davidii contig48912, whole genome shotgun sequence.
GGUGGUUUUUGGGUGAUGCAUCUCGGAAUCGGGCUCCCUCUUCUCUGAUUCCAGGUGCAUCACCCGAGAACUGCA